rnacentral:rRNA from 1 species
GUGGGGAAUUGUUCGCAAUGGGCGCAAGCCUGACGACGCAACGCCGCGUGGAGGAUGAAGACCUUCGGGUCGUAAACUCCUUUCGACCGAGAUGAAUACCUGCCGACCUAAUACGUUGGCAGGCCGACAGUAUCGAGGGAAGAAGCCCCGGCUAACUCCGUGCCAGCAGCCGCGGUAAUACGGGGGGGGCAAGCGUUGUUCGGAAUUACUGGGCGUAAAGGGUUCGUAGGUGGCCAACUAAGUCAGACGUGAAAUCCCUCAGCUUAACUGGGGAACUGCGUCUGAUACUGGUCGGCUUGAGUGCAGGAGAGGAAUGCGGAAUUCCAGGUGUAGCGGUGAAAUGCGUAGAUAUCUGGAGGAACACCGGUGGCGAAGGCGGCAUUCUGGACUGCAACUGACACUGAGGAACGAAAGCCAGGGGAGCAAACGGGAUUAGAAACCCUUGUAGUCC